rnacentral:misc_RNA from 1 species
UUCUUUCUAAAGUCAAGUACCAAUAUAUUUUUCUGUUUGUUAAUGAUUGAAAAAGUUGAAUGGCUAUGAUGAUGAAUAGUUAAAAUAAUAAUAGCUACUACGGAAAAUACAACAAAGUAAACGAAUUUCCUGAAAUGGAUGCGUCAAAACGUCCUUUGAAAAUACCAGUAAAAUUCAUCCCUUAUCUGGAAAAACAUGAUAUUUUCAACUUGUUUCGUGGCUUAGCAACAUCUAUUAUCAUAGAGAAGCCAAACGAUAUUUUGCAAUUUAUGAAAAAUGAGGUUAUACAAUAUGAGAAACGCGCAUACAGACCAAGGCAAAUAAUGUUCAUAGCUCCACCGCAUCUUGCUAUUCAACAUUUGGCUGAUCAGUUGUAUUUAUCUUGCAAACUGACGUCUAUCAACUAUGCUGAUGUAGUGCGCGAAGUCGGCUCUCAAGAGAUAUUGAAAAAUGUAUGCUCUAGCCCUAUAAAACUAGCAAAUGCAACAUUGAAUUACAUCAAAGUGAAUAAGCUUGAACUGAAUAAUGGGUGGAUUAUGGUUGGCUUUCCUAACACAAAGGAAGAAGGUAUAGCUCUCCAAAAAGUUGGAAUUUUUCCAACCCACACAUUUCAAAUAACUCAUGAUCCCAAAGAAUAUGACGAGAAAGACUUCUGGAAUGACAAUUUAAGCGAGGAUUGGUCUUAUGAAGGUUUCAGUAGAAUGAUGAAGGAUUACAAAAGAAGAGCAGUGGGACUCCGGCAAAUUUAUCAGUCCACAUUGAAGACAAUUGUUGUGCGAGGGAGAACUCUGGCUGAAUUGAAGAAUGACAUCCUAUCUAGUCUACUGAAAUUCAACUAUGAUGGACUAGCAUUUGCACCGAGGGUGGUGCUUCUAGGAGUGAGAGGCUCGAGGAGAAGAACGCUGGCGAAAAUGAUGUCUGAACGCCUGAAGCUUGUUCAUAUCCAUUUCUGGGAUUUGAUGGAACAAGCAAAACAAUGGAAUAAUGAUGUAGGUGAUGCAAUAAGAGAUUCAUUAGACUUAUUUCAAGGGAUUAAUAUGAAUGCGGCAUUGGAAAUUCUAGAGAAACGACUGUUAUCUGAUGACUGUCUUGAACGUGGAUGGGUUUUGACUGGGUUUCCCAAUGACGAAUGUGAUUUUAAAAACCUAGAUACCUUGUCUACACCACCAAACAAAAUAAUUUUCCUGGAAAUACCCAGUGAAGUAUGCUACAAACGUUUGAAAGACAGGUGUAUAAAUAUGUACACGGGAGAGGUAUUGUCCAAGGCAAAAAUUGCUGACAAUCCAGUUAUUCAGAAUCAAACUACCACACACCCGCAUGAUGCAGAAAACAUAAUCACCCAGGAACAAAAAGCUUAUCUGACUGAAUAUCAUAGCUUGGUUGAGUACAAAAUGAAACAAGCGAUAUUUGUGAAUGCUCAAGGAUCGCUAUUCGAAGUUUUUGAACGUAUUGAGAAUGUUAUAGUACAUCAAACCGAGACUUUCAAACCAAAGUAUGAAACUUUGAAAUCUCUCAGCCUCCAAGUUCAAUGCUCCCAAACCACACAAAAUUUGAGUUUUUCAUCUUCAACGAAUGUAGAAAGUGAUUGAUUGAUGCGGAGAAAAUUCUCAGAAUCAAUGUUCAGUAGCCAUUCCAAUGGAAAGAAAUGAUGUACACCAACGGAUUGAUUCAAAAAUAGUCAUCGGUCUGAAAGCCACGAUGAAAUUGAUUGUUUCAAAAUUUAUUUGAAUAAAU